CAUAGAGGACAAACCUCCGAAAUCCUAGAAAGCCCUCCGGAAGAGGUAGAGGAUGUUCCUGCAGAGGAAAAUCUGGAAGAGAUUCCUAGAAGGGCUCAGAGUUCUUCUCAGCCACGUGGCUUAGAAGCCCAAAUUCAAAAUGGCGAUAGUGCAGAGUCUGACCAUGGCUCACAAUCUGAGGGAGAAGAAUCAGACUUUGAAAUUCAGGACUUACAGAGAAAUCUUAACAGGCUGCGUUUAACACCGCCUGCCCAGGCUAUUCGAAUUCGGCCGGUACCUGCUAAAAGGACAAAAUUUAACAGAUUGUACGUGCACAUCCUAUAGAUGAAGCUUUAUUGGUGUUCACGGAUGGUUCUAACUCAGGUAAAGCAGGUUUUUAUAGUCGUGUUCACACAGAGAUAAUACAAACUUCUUAUACUUCUGCCCAAAGAGCAGAGCUUCAAGCUCUGAUUUGUGCCUUUAAUUACUUUUCUAAUGAGCCUAUUAAUAUUUAUUCUGACAGCUUAUAUGCAGUCAAAGUUACUAAAAACAUUGAAACUUCAGUUAUUGGGUAUACUUCAUCACAGGAGUUAUUUGAAUUAUUUCAUAAUUUACAAAAGGCAGUGCUAAUGCGAAAAUACCCAUGUUUCAUAGGGCACAUAUGGGCUCAUACUAAUCUUCCAGGACCCUUAGUUUCAGGUAAUGACAAGAUUGAUAAAUUAGUAACUUUUUGUCAACAGAUGUCUUCAUAUGACUGUGCACUAGCUUCCCAUUCCUUGCAUCAUCAAAUGCUCCAGCUUAUGUAAGCUCUUCUUUUCAACAAUUUUGCCAAGAGUUUAAAAUUAAUCAUAAAACAAAAAUUCCUUAUAACCUCCAAGGUCAAGCCAUUGUGAAACAAGCUCAUUUAUCUAUUAAGCUUCAAUUACAAAAAUUAAAGGGGGGGAAUAGGUUUAUGACUCCCCAAAAUAGGAGCCCCUAUCCAGAAGGAAGAGAUAUCGGAAAAGGAUGAAGAAAGACCAGAUUGACCCAGCCGAAAAGCUGAUUUCAUGUGAAGAUGUGAAGAAGCUAACAACCCAGGCUUCCCAAAUACUUCGACACCUAGGAGAGAACAGGACCCCAGUGAUGAUGGUAACAACAGUAAUUGCCCUGUUGGGCUGUCAGGUAAAGGGAGAUCAAGUAGACACUUACUGGACAUAUUUCCCAGAUCCACCCCUGGUACACCCAGCUGUGUGGACUGGAGAAUCUAUUCCAGUAUUUACUAAUGACUCAUUCAUGAUGGGAGGAUUUACGGACACUCAUAUUACUCCCAAUCAUGUGACUAGAUUUAAUUAUUCUGGCUACAGUGCCCAAUUACCUUUGUGUUGGUCCCAUGAUAAACAUGCUGGCUGUCUGAAAGUAUCAUUUGAAGAAAAGACAGCGAUUGGUAGACCUAGACUGAGAAAUAAUUCUAUUUAUGGGGACUUAAGACCUAUACUAGAUCAGUAAUUGAGAUGGGACUUUCCCAUAACAAGCCAGUCAUUUCUGUAAAACCUCCACGGAUACCCCACUGUCCAAAUAGUUCUACAAUUGAGAUUGGCACCUUUCCUAGAAGGAUGGAUUGUGUGAAUACCUUUCCUGUACAACAUAAGGUGUCUAAAGAUAGUGGGUAUAUUUUAGACUGGUCUCCAAAAAUUGAUAAGAGACAAUUACGAAGAAAUUCUGCUAUGACACCUGCAGGAUUUGUUAGUAAUAUUUUAACUUAUAGUGAAGAUGGUGUUCAAAAGGAUGUUUGGCGUUUAAUUGCUGCCUCAGAAUUCUUACAUUUUACAGACAAACCUUUACCAAAAUUUGUUGGCAAGAACUGUAAAGAGGGAUCUUGCUAUGGCUUACAAGCCUGUGUCCAAUCUCCUUAUGUUUUAAUUAUUGGAAAUGUAAAGGUUAAAUGGAUAGAUGACAGAUAUUGUUACUUGUAAUAAAUGUAACCUAACCAAUUGUAUUACUAGGUAUAAUGGAGGAAAAGGAGUGCUGAUACUACAUCAGCCCUCUUUCGUUUUAUUGCCUGCUAAUAUUUCAGAGCCAUGGUAUGCGGAUACUGGUUUACAAGUCUUGCAGCAAAUUCAUGCCCAGUUAGCAAGACCUAAACGUGCUAUUGGAGUUAUAAUUGUUGGUGUUUUGGCGCUAGUCUCCUUUAUUGCCUCAACUGUCUCUGCGUCUCUGACAUUGUCUCAAAAUAUUCAGCAUGCAAAAUUUCUUAAUAAUUUAGCUCAAAAUACUUCCAAGGCUCUGCGUAAUCAAGUAAGUAUUGAUGAAAGGAUUGAAACUAAAUUAAACGCCUUAGAGGCGACUGUUAUAGACAUAGGUAAUGAACUUUCAUCCUUAAAAUUUAAGGAAAGGCUUAAAUGCCAUGCUAAUUAUAAAUAUGUUUGUGUUACAGAUGCCAAGUACAAUGCUUCUCUCUGGGAUUGGGAGAAGGUUAAAAACCAUUUGUUAGGUAUUUGGCAAGAUAGUAAUAAUAGCUUGUAUAUUCUGGAACUUCAUCACCAUAUCCAAGACAUUCAAAAUAAUAGAGCUGAUUUUUCAGAUCCUUCUUUGGCUAACCAAAUAUUGAAGGAGUUGAAUGGAUUCAACCCUGGAAAUAUUCUUAAACACUCGGCCUGGUACAUUAUUGGAUUAUUCUCUUUGCUGUUAAUUCUCUUUUGUGUUGUAAUCAUAGGAUGGCGAGUCUUCGGAACAAGAAUACAGAAACUCCAAAGAGUGAACCGCCGCCUCAUUUUUAAGAAAAGAAAGGGGGAAUAUGUGGAGAGCCAUUCUCAUGCUUGACUGGGUGACUCCCGGUUUGGGUCUGAGGUGUUCUGGCUGUGUCGGAACUUUCCCAGCCCUCUCCUGAUGAGAGAACCCGUCCGUGUGGGGGUGUGACUGACCACCGACCCUGACCUUGGAGUGCGGCCCCCCCUCAACCUUCAUUGCAUGGAAUUAUCCCCUGAAUUUCUUGUUCCCCAAUAAAAGGCUACUCCCUGGCGUGCUCGCUCUCUCUCUCUCCUGCUAGCCCUGAGUAAUCCUUGCUGCCCUACGGGUGGUUCGAGGUUGGAGCCAGAGAGGGGAGCCGUCUCGGACCUGGUCAUAGAAAAAGGUAACUGAGUCUGUGUGUUUUAUUUCGAUCUCUGCUAGCUAACUUUUAUGCCAAGAACCUCAUUAAUGAAACCAAUGUGCAGGCCACAUGGUGGAAGCCAGGACUUAAGUUGAUAUGCAAAUAGAAGAAGCCUGGGGCUCAGUAGAGGACAGAUCUGAGAUCCAAAGGAAAAAAAAAGAAAUAAAAGUGUCUUUUUACCUGAACUCAAACUAGACCAAACCAAAAAGUAAAUUGUAUGGUAUUUACUAAUUACUGGCCAGUCAUCUUUUUUAGGACUCUUGCUUUUUCUUAGAUUCUGUAUUUUUUUUUUUGGAGCUCAUGAUUUUGAUCCUGCAGAUGGGUUGAUGUUUUCUGAUCAGUUCUAUUUUUGAUCAACUGUGGAGUUUUUAAACAUUGCAAUGGAGAUUUCACCUGAAAAAAAAAAAAACAGCUACAAGGCCUUGUGUAUAUGUACACACUUGUGCUAUGUGUUGUAUGUCGGUAUGUCUGUAUGUGUGUAUGUCCAUAUAUCAUGCAGUUAUAUGACAAUUGGCAGGUAUAUGAGGAGUGCUCAUAAAAAAUUUAAAAAAAAAUGGACCCAAAUAUCUUUGAUUCACGUGAUUCAAAUGGUUCACUUUAAAUUGGGUAAACAGAUAAAAGUAAAGAUGUCUUUAAAAUUAAGCUUAUAAGUUUUUCUAGGUGUUCAAAAAGGCCCUAAUAAAAUGUUGAUGUCUAUGAAAUAAUCUGCCUAAAUUCAAACAUUUACAAGUAUUGUUUCAAAAGGUGAACAGAAGGAGGUUAACAGAUGGAAAAGAGAAACUAGAAGGUACUAGGUAUGGAUUUAAUAGAGGGAAAAUGUGUUUCUGGAUAAGAGAGUCUAUGUGAUUAAGUAAUUAAGAGGGUUUAAGUAAGUGAUAAAGAAGGUUUGUGUAAGUUGGUUAUAUGUGUAAGUUUUUGAGCAAAUAAUCUUAAAGAAAUUAAAGAUUAUACAACUAUGGUUAAACAACAACUGUUAUUUUUCAAUAUUGUAAUGUUAUUUCUUUAAAAGCUAACCUUGGUUAAUAUAAAAUCAUCAAUGUAAUUGUGGUGUUAUUAAUAUGUUCAUAUCUUCCAGGUAUACAAGUCUGUAAGGUAGAAGCUUCAAAAGAGCAUUAUAUCAAGCUGGUGUUCUAAAGUUGUAUGGUAAUUUUAGGCUUAAAAGAAAAACAUGUUGGAGAUUUAUUUGUCAUUUGUGUUCUAUAACUGGACUUGUUAUCAAUAAGAUAUGUAAAGUUCCAUGUUACUUUUUACACUGAGAUAAAAUUUAAAUGUAUUUUUAAGUUAAUAAGAGCCUAACCUGUGUGAAGGUUUAAUUGUAAAACACAAAAAUACUUUGCUACUUUUCUACAAAAGGUUAAAAGCUUUCAGCCUUUCUUUAAUUCAUGUUUUAGGUGUGAUAUUAUGUUGUGUUAGCUAAUGUUCAUGUAAACUUGAGCAACAAUUUAUGUAGACUUUGUAAAAUGAUGUCUAAAAAAACAAAGAUUGGUUUCAGAACUACAAUAUUUAAGAUUUAUGAAGAGCCCUGCCUUACUUGAGAUAAGGCUCUGUCCCAUCUCACUACAUGUGAAAGUGACUAUGAAAGAAGUAGACCAGAUUUCAGUACAUUUAAAGUUGUGUCCAAAAGUUGGUUUUUGACAUGAUUACCAGGAUCUCAAACAGGGGAUUAUAAUGUAUAACUCUGCCAAAAUUCAAGGUAGCUAUUACAUAAACUGAAUAUGUUUUUACCUUAGUUAAUUUUAUUCUGUAGUUUUCUUAUAGAUGGUCUAAGGAUUGCCUGUUAAUGUUUCAAAGAGGUACUGCUUUAAGAACACACAACCUGGGUUAAUUUAAGAUAAGGAGUUAUCACCUACAGGAUAGAGAGAUAGACAUUAAAGCCCAGUGCUUUUAAUGUAAGGCUGUUAACUUAUUUGCUGGAUGUUUAAGAUUAAGUGUUAAAAUUAAAUUAAAAAGGGCCAAGAAAACCAAUAUUUGGCUCUUGCCCUCUGAGUCAGUCUGAAUCAGGGAAUUGGGGACUUCUCCAAAGAGCUUUGCAACUCUAGGCCACAUAACCUCCUGAACAGGGAGAUUAAUGAGACCAGUAGAGGACAGAAAGCCAAUCAGUGAAUUUUCUGUGAAGAGGAGGGUCAUCAGAAAAGGGAAACAUCCCUGAUGCUUCUAAGGGAAGCCAUAUGGUCAAGCAAGGCCUGGACCCAUCCUAGCGCAAAUGGCACUAGCAGAACUGAGAAGCUGCUGUAAGUUCCCUGAGGACUCCCAGGGAAACUCAGCUGACUGUUAACAAUAGAUAGAAACAAAAGUCAGUUUGACUUGCUUCAUCUUAAGCACUUGGCAAAGACGGCUAAAGCCAAAACACAGCUAUUCCUGGGCAUUUUAAAUGAUAAUAAUAGUUAUUCCAUAAAUAAGUAAACUGGAGGCUACAAAAGAGAUUCUCAGACAGGAAUGCCUGAUAACUAUCAAAAGAAACUGCCAGAGUAGUUUUUAGUUUAUGGCCCACAGAUAUUCCUAACCUACACAGGUAGGCUUAAUGUUUGCUAGUAUGGUUAUCCAGCCCUAAGUAACAGAAUUAAAGAUUUCUCUAUUAGACACAGAGGUCAUACUAGUAAAAGGAUUUUGCAAGAUCAGAUGACAUUAAAUUAUUAAACUGUAUCUUAAGGAAAAGGACAUCUGUAACUCUAAAAGUUAAAUGUUGUUUUUACAUCCCUGACAUUUCUGGCAAUGUGACAAAUAUACUUAAAGAUUUACAUGCUCAGAUAGAAGCCAUGUCCUCAGCAACUUUGUCAUGGAAACAAUAUCUUAGCUCCUGGUUCUUGGUAUUUCCUGGUGGAAAACAUUGUUAGUCUUUGUCUUUGCCAUCAUACUCAUUGGCAUAUUCCUGUGCUAUGGCAUUUAUUGCUGCAUCAAUAUGGUUCCAGUACUAAUGAAUUCUUGUUUCUCUUAUAGACCACCCAUCACUCAAAUGGCCCUCCAGCCUAUUACUUCUCAAUCAGACUUUUAUCAUGGACCACUCGAUAGAUCUGAUUUUUAAAGGGGGACUCCAAACUGCUUGCCCCACACCGUCCCUUAUCAGCCUGAAGAAGCCAGAAAGAUUUUCUUCGCCCCCCUUCCUUACAGCAGUAAGGAGUUCCCAAAUUAGAGGAGGGGAAUGAAGCCAGAUUUAAAGUUAGGUAGUCAGUGUAGUUAGGUAAAUCAGGGUCUAAUACCGAGUGAAAUCUAAAAUGGAGGCCAUGCUGAAAAUGAUUCCAGGAAACGCAGGACAACUCAUGGUAAUCAGACAGCAAUAUGCUCCACUGACAGAGCUGGAAAAUGAGACUCCCCAAUAAUUGUGAUUCAUUACUUUUAAGAUUAAAAGUAGUCAGAAAAAGGAGUGGGGAAUGAAAGGGUAAAAGAAACUGAAGUUAAAGACCAGGCAUUGUAAAGCUUCUAAGCUGCAAAGCCUGAGUUAAAAUGUAAAAGACCAGGUAUUGUUAAGUUCCUAUGCUACACUCAAAACCUGAAAUUCCUGUAGCUGUUAGGACAAUUCACGGGACUGCCCAGUAGAUAUUCCCCCUGACCAUUUAGUUGUUAAAUAACCUGGGCCCUGUGCAGUUUGGCACAUAGGCAUUCAGGGCCCAAACCAAUCAGUUUAAAUGUGUACCCCGCUUUAGGACUAACCUACCACCCCCACCCGACCUGUUCCCGCCAAUGAAUGUACUAAUCAUGUUCGAGAGUUGUUGUUCGAUUUUCCCGCGCCUCAUGAUGAUUUGCUCUGAUGUAUGCAAAGCCCCCGCCCUCCCCAAAAAGUGUACUUAAGCACUGCUUAACCCCUGCUUGGGGCUCUUGGCCACUCUCCCUCCUUGAAUGAGCACGGAGCCCCAGCAUGCUGGAUCCUCAAUAACCCCCCUUUUGCGGUUGCAUGAGUCAGUCUCUUGGUGGUCUCCUCCUCCGUCGUUUGCCGGACCCUUACAAAAUGUAACUUGGCCGUGAUUCUCAUCACCAGGAUCAUUAUCCUGUUGUCAGUUAAAAGUCAAGAGGUGGACCUGGGUGGAACUCUCUGGAAACUUCUAUGGGACCCCCAAUAAAACUGGGGUGCAAGAGAGGCACAUUAUCCACCUCCUCUUUGAGAGGACCCAUUCUCUCCCUUAAGAGUGUCCCCUUUCCCUUUUCCUAUCUGUUUAAUAAAACUCAAUCCUUGUUACUCUAA